rnacentral:lncRNA from 1 species
CUUGGCAAGCGUAUCUGCAGCUACGGCUAACUUCUCUACAGAGAAUAAGCUAGGAGAAGGUGGCUUUGGUCCUGUUUACAAGGUAGAUUUCUUUUCAUCUCAGCUGUAUUAAUUGAACUUAAACUUUUGUAUGAAUCAGUGAUGAAAUUACAAAUGCAGGGGCGACUACUCAAUGGACAAGAAGUAGCAGUUAAGAGGCUCUCUAGUCAAUCAGGGCAAGGACAGGAAGAGUUUAAAAAUGAGAUAAAACUUAUAGCAAAGCUCCAACACAGGAACCUUGUUAGACUCUUGGGUUGCUGUAUAGAACUAGAAGAAAAGAUUUUGAUCUAUGAGUACAUGCCUAACAAAAGCUUGGAUUUUUUCCUUUUUGGUAUGUGAUUUGUAUAAUUCAUAAAAUGAAUAUUUUCACCAUCUUUCAACCUGUAUCAUUUAAGAUGGACAAGAUUUUUUAUACCAUAAUGGUUUGAUGUUGUUACAGAUUCCACCAAAGAGAAUCUAUUAGGAUGGGGAACACGUGUUAGAAUCAUUGAAGGAAUUGCCCAAGGGCUUUUAUAUCUUCAUCAGUAUUCCAGACUGAGAGUUAUUCACAGAGAUCUCAAGGCAAGUAAUAUUCUUUUAGAUAAGGACAUGAACCCUAAAAUAUCAGAUUUUGGUAUGGCCAGAAUUUUUGGUGGUGAUGAGUUGCAAUCAAAGACAAAAAGGAUUGUUGGAACUUAGUAAGUAAAUUUCAACUAUUGAGACUAUUAAUGUCAUUUGCUUUUCUGCAUUCGUAAAUCCUUUUAAGAUAGUUAAAGUUUUUAUGAAACAACGAAUUUCAGUGGUUAUAUGUCGCCUGAAUAUGCUCAACAAGGCCUCUUCUCUAUCAAAUCUGAUGUGUUUAGCUUUGGAGUAUUGCUUUUGGAAACACUAAGUAGUAAGAGGAAUACAGACUUCUCCAAUACUAAUUCCCUUACGCUUCUUGGCCAUGUAAGUGACAAGAUUUCACAAUUUUGUUUUUUUUUUGAAAUCUUUGAAUGUAUUAAGAUGAAUCUAGUAUUAAUCCUAAAUGAAUGGCAUUAUAUUAUACAUUAUAUUCCUUGAAAUGGAAAAUUUAAGAAUUCCCUACAUCUCAAUCGAACCAUUAUGACUCAAACACUCAUUCAGUAAUGGCAUGUUUGAUUUUAAGAAACAUGAAGAAAGGAGAAGAUAGGAAAAGAGGAAAGGGAAAAGGAGAUGAUUUCCUUGUCAAACCAAAAAAUUGAGAUUGGCUCUCUUUUUCCCUUAUUUUCUCUCUUUCUUUCUCCUUUCUGUUCCUCUCAUCUCCUCUAAUUUCUUCUAACAAAAAACGGACUUAAAUGUUCUGUUUUUCUUCAGGCUUGGGAUUUGUGGAAAGAUGAUAGAGCUUGGGAGCUGAUAGAUCCGACAUUGCAAAAUGAAGCAUCAUAUCUAAUACUAAACAGAUACAUCAAUGUGGGCCUUCUAUGUGUUCAAGAGGAUGCAGCAGAUAGACCAACCAUGUUUGAAGUUGUCUCAAUGCUUACCAAUAAGACAAUUAAUUUACCUCAUCCCCGACAGCCUGCUUUUUCAAGUAUAAGAGGUCUCAAAAAUACAAUUUUGCCGGCAAAUGGGAAGGCUAGAGUUUGUUCAGGAAAUUGCUUAACACUUUCAGAAAUGGAUGCUCGAUAGCUAUCUGUGCCUCAGUUUAUGUGCUUUAAUUUAAACUCUGUCUGUCUCUAGUUGUGAACCUCCAGUGAGAAUAUGUUAGUCAAUUACAUCCAACCAAUUCUUAACAAAAUUUAACCUAUUCAUCUCAUCUUCAUCCAAAUCAAGCCAACUUUGUCACAAUUUCAUGGAAAUCACUCAAGAUUAACAACUAUUUUACAACAUGAUCAAGUUAUUAUAAGCUAGAGUCCAAUUAUUAUAUUUUUGUACUUUUCAUCCUCCAUCCUCAAUAAAUAGAGGUGUCUUGUUCAUUUAAGAGGUACAGAAUUAAGAGUGAGAAAUUAAAGAGAAGUAGUUAACAAUGGGUAAUUAUGUAAGUUCUCUAAUUGUUUUUAUUCAUUUAAUUAUGAACUAACUUUCUUUUACAAAGGUUAGGAUAAAGUCCUUUUAAUAUAACAAAUUCCAAUUUUUCUUUAUUAAUAAAUGAUUUAUGCUUUUAAUGUUUUUAAUUCUGGUUUCACAUGAUUUAUAGCAAAUGAAACUCUUUUCACCGUCAGUAUCAUAUAUUCUUGCAGCUAGGAAUAGUUUUAAUAAAUCUAUGCUUAUUUCAGUAGUUUUAAAAUCAUCAGCUCAUUUUAUAUUUUUCAAAAUUGGAUACAUAAAAUGCUUAAUGUUAAUACUUAAUACCCUUGAAGCGAAGACGAAUUUGUUUAGAAAUUUCACAUAAAAUCUUUAAGUAAACAAUGGAAUAAUGGAUUGAUUACAAGAUUGUUACUCUUAAGGGGUGGACCAGAACUGAACUGAACUGAAACAUUUUGGUUCAGUUCAGUUCAGGUCGGGUCAUUUAAUCAUUUGCUGUUCAAACAAUAGCUAUUUCCAAAGCCUGCUUUGUUUCAGCUUUUUAUAUGGGAUUAAAAAAUAUAAAAGAAACAGCAAUUAAACUCAACUAUUCUUCACUAACAUCAAAUCAAAAUAUGCCAAAACUCAAAAUGAUUGAUUACAGUACAUCCAGCAGUUAUGCUACUGCCUAAGAAAACAAACACCAGAGAGAAGAAAAUGGGACAUCAGGCUAACAAUUGUCAAGUGUCAAAAGCUCUGCAUGAAGUUUCAAAACAAUAUAUACACAAUCCAACACAAGCUUUUAACAUUCACUAACAAGAAACAACAUCCUCCAGUUGAGUUAAGGAUUCAAAGAAAAUAGUCAAAUCAAUUGCUUGAAGUCUUUAUUUUCAGUUCUAUUAAUAACUCUUUCUUUUUUAAUCCAAUUAUACACUAAAACCUAAAAGCUUAACACUAUGAAGCUGCACUAAUUCAUCAAUUUUACUAACAAUAACCAACUCUUUUGCAAAACAUCCAGAGCUUAGCUAUUUAAAGACAUCACUUUAAGAUAAUUCAACAAAUUACAGCAAAAUCUCAAAUCUAUAAUAUGAAAUAGUAUGAAUACCGAAUGGAAGAAAAAAGAAAAGAAAAUUUUAUUAAAUUAAAUUAUUGCAGUAUUAAUCACAACUCAAUUAAUUUGACUAAUUUAAUUCAGGCCCAAAAUUAAUGGGAAAAUAAAAAACGAAGUCUCAACUCACUGUCUCUGGUGGCCGGCGCGAUCGUAACGACUGAACGAGGCUGCGACGGCAACAGCUGAGACCGGAGGGUGAGAUGGUGACAGAAGACGAAGAGAGUGAGAGAGGAAGGAGCUGCUGGUGGCCUGCGGCUGCCGUGCUGGGCUGCCGUUUUAGGGAAUUACGGUUUUAGCUUAGGGCCGGUUUUCCCUUCUUUUGUUUAAUUGCAUGAACCGAUCGGCUGUGCAUUCCAUUCGGUUUUGGAGCCGAACUAAGUACAAAG